rnacentral:rRNA from 1 species
UCCUACGGGAGGCAGCAGUGGGGAAUCUUCCGCAAUGGGCGAAAGCCUGACGGAGCGACACCGCGUGGGGGAUGAAGGUCUUCGGAUCGUAAACCCCUUUAAAGAGGGACGAGUAAGGACGGUACCUCUUCAAAAAGCCACGGCUAACUGCGUGCCAGCAGCCGCGGUAAGACGUGGGUGGCGAGCGUUAUCCGGAUUUAUUGGGCGUAAAGGGCCCGCAGGUGGUUCUUAAAGUCUCCGGUCAAAUUUCAGGGCCUAACCCUGAAUCGCCGGAGAUACUCAGGGGCUAGAGGAGAGAAGAGGGAAGUGGAAUUCCCGGUGGAGCGGUGAAAUGCGUAGAUAUCGGGAGGAACACCAGUGGCGAGGGCGGCUUUCUAGGCUGUGACUGACGCUCAGGUGCGA